UACGGAGGAUCCAAGCGUUAUCCGGAUUCAUUGGGUUUAAAGGGUGCGUAGGCGGAAUUGUAAGUCAGUGGUGAAAGCCCUCAGCUUAACUGAGGAACUGCCAUUGAUACUGCAAAUCUUGAGUACAUUUGAUGUGGGCGGAAUGUGUCAUGUAGCGGUGAAAUGCUUAGAUAUGACACAGAACACCGAUUGCGAAGGCAGCUCACAAAACUGUAACUGACGCUGAGGCACGAAAGCGUGGGUAUCAAACAGG
rnacentral:rRNA from 1 species